AGUUUUUUGUUUUUUAAUAAAAAAUGUUUUCUGCUCGGUGAUUUUUAACAGCUGCGGUAAUUUGACCGUGCAAAGGUAGCAUAAUCAUUUGCUUCAUAAUUGGAGGCUUGUAUGAAUGGAAUUACAAGAUUUUUGCUUUAUUAGAAAGAGAUUAAAAAUUUGCUUUUUUAGUGAAGAAGCUAAAAUUUUUUUAUGGGACAAGAAGACCCUUUUGAGCUUUACUAAAUUUUUUUUUUUAAAAAAAAAUUUAGUUUGGUUGGGGCGACCAAGGAAGGUGAAUCUUCCUUUAUUUACUUUGAUCCAUGGAUUAUGAUUGAUGGAAUAAGUUACCAAAGGGAUAACAGCGUAAUUUUUUUUGUGAGUUCUUAUUUAAAAAAAAGAUUGCGACCUCGAUGUUGACUUAAAUUUUCCUUUUGGUGCAGUAGUUAAAAUGGUAAGUCUGUUCGACUUUUAAAAUUUU
rnacentral:rRNA from 1 species